rnacentral:rRNA from 1 species
AGAGUUUGAUCCGGGCUCAGAUUGAACGCUGGCGGCAUGCCUAACACAUGCAAGUCGAACGGAAACGAUGGAAGCUUGCUUCCAGGCGUCGAGUGGCGGACGGGUGAGUAAUACUUAGGAAUCUGCCCAGUAGUGGGGGACAACUCGAGGAAACUCGAGCUAAUACCGCAUACGCCCUACGGGGGAAAGCGGAGGACUCUUCGGAGCUUCGCGCUAUUGGAUGAGCCUAAGUCGGAUUAGCUUGUUGGUGAGGUAAAAGCUCACCAAGGCGACGAUCCGUAGCUGGUCUGAGAGGACGAUCAGCCACACUGGGACUGAGACACGGCCCAGACUCCUACGGGAGGCAGCAGUGGGGAAUAUUGGACAAUGGGGGCAACCCUGAUCCAGCAAUGCCGCGUGUGUGAAGAAGGCCUGCGGGUUGUAAAGCACUUUCAGUAGAGAAGAAAAGCCUACGGUUAAUACCCGUGGGUCUUGACGUAACCUACAGAAGAAGCUCCGGCUAACUCCGUGCCAGCAGCCGCGGUAAUACGGAGGGAGCGAGCGUUAAUCGGAAUUACUGGGCGUAAAGCGCGCGUAGGCGGCUUUGUAAGUCGGAUGUGAAAGCCCCGGGCUCAACCCGGGAAUUGCAUUCGAUACUGCAGAACUAGAGUAUGGUAGAGGGAAGUGGAAUUUCCGGUGUAGCGGUGAAAUGCGUAGAUA